GCAGUCACAGUCAGACAGAUGAAACAAGACCCUGCUUAGUAAAAUAUCUUAUUUUGGUAUUGGCAGAUUGGGUGAAAAAAAAAAGAAAAUACUAUAAUUUUACCCAUUUACUUGGAUAACAUAAUAGUUAUCGAAUAUGAGUUCAUCAGGUUUUUUGCUCAAAAGUAAUAGUCUAAGUGAACCAAUAUAAAAGGAAGUAUCUAAAAACGAUAUCUGGAAAUAUACUGUACAGUAUCUAUGAAUGUGUUUUCAAAAUGAUGAAAUGACUUUUCUAACCUCGUCGUUAGGCCGUAAAUAAAGUAAUACAUAGGUUGUGGAGAUGAGGAUAGGAGGCUCAUGACUUUGCAGAUCUUGAAUAACUUACAUUUAGCUACUAUCUAUAGAAUGGCUUUUGCUUAAAAUUACACGAAUGGAGAGAACGUAAUUGAAUUUAAAAUAUACUUUGCGACGUAUUAAGUAUAAUUAGUGUUCAUUUUUUUGUCUUUUUUUUUUACUGAUGGUGUAGUUAUUUAUUUGGCCAUAUUGGGGGACAGGCUUAUGGGGCCAACAUAUGACAGUUUCGUUUGGUAUAUGUCUUAUUUAUUUGAUGCGUAAUUAUCGUGAACAAUGGGUUAUAAUUGGAAUAAUAAUUUUGUAUGAUUUUAUAUGACAUUUACAUUUACAUUUUAGUCAUUUAGCAGACGCUCUUAUCCAGAGCGACUUACAGUAGUGAAUGCAUACAUUUCAUACAUUUCUUUUUCUGUGCUGGCCCCCCGUGGGAAUCGAACGCACAACCCUGGCGUUGCAAACACCAUGCUCUACCAACUGAGCUCCAUAUGAGCGAGACUGAUUUAGAUUGACUGAAGUCAAUAAAUUGAUUUCUAAUCCUGACCCCGCAAUUGAUUAAUGUAAAAAAAAUGAUUUACUUAUCAGUUAAUACCAUGUUGACAAAUACAUUCAACGUAAGGAGAUGAUUGUUGCCAAGAAAAGGGUGUUUCUAAUGGCUUAUCAGAACAAGGCAACCAAAUGGAGCUUUUACGCAGAGGGUGGAACUCAUUCAGAACGGCAAGAUAAAACGUGAGCCUAUAGUUCACUGAUAAGCAGCCCUUUAGAUCGGUCCCUUUCAAGAAAGUCAACAUCUUUCUUUCUACCACAUUCUUGCUGUCUACCACAUUUUGCAGUGACUGGUGGUGUCUUAUUGUAUAUCCAUGGACUCAGAGGUACUUUGGAACCUUUGGAGACUUAAACAGCGCAGCGGCUAUCAUGGGCAAUAAAAAAGUUGCCAAACAUGGCAUCACUGUGCUGAACGGCCUGGAUUGAGCUGUGCAGAAUAUGGAUGACAUCAAGAACACCUACGUCGAGCUGAGCGUUCUGCACUCUGAGAAACGUCAUGUGGAUCCCGUCAACUUCAGGUGCUGGGCGACUGCCUCACCAUUGUUCUGGCCUCCCAGAUGGGGCGCGCCUUCACGCCAGACGUCCAAGCCGCCCAGCAGAAGUUCCUGACCGUGGUCGUCUCUGCGCUGGGCAGACUGUACCAUGAGAGACCUGUUCUAUUGUGGAAUACACAUAUAUAUUUUAUUAUAGAAGACAUUUUGUAUGAAUAAUAAAAUAUAUUGUUAAGCACA